rnacentral:lncRNA from 1 species
GCGCAUGGACAAGUUCUACUGGGCUCCCACCCGCGAGGACCGCGUGGGCGUGUGCAAGGGCAUCUUCCGCAGCGACGGCGUCCCCGACGAGGACGUGGUGAGGCUGGUGGACGCCUUCCCGGGCCAGUCCAUCGACUUCUUCGGCGCCCUCCGCGCCAGGGUGUACGACGACGAGGUGCGGCGGUGGGUGGCCGAGACCGGCGUGGAGAACAUCGCCAGGAGGCUCGUCAACUCCAAGGAGGGCCCGCCCACGUUCGAGCAGCCGAGGAUGACGCUGGACAAGCUCAUGGAGUACGGGCGCAUGCUGGUGGAGGAGCAGGAGAACGUGAAGCGCGUGCAGCUGGCAGACAAGUACCUCAGCGAGGCGGCGCUGGGCGACGCAAACGACGACGACGACUUGUAUGGCAAGGCGGCGCAGCAUGUCCGCGUGCCCGUGCCGGAGGGGUGCACUGACCCCAAGGCCGGCAACUUCGACCCUACCGCCAGGAGCGACGACGGCAGCUGCGUGUACAACUAAUAUAAUUGUCCAAACAAUUUCUGUGGCACGUACUUAAGUUUGAGCCAGGAUACAAACUUUGGCCGCUAAUGGUUGCUGUCGCCGGUCAAGAGGGCGUUGGCUACUUGAGUUAGAUUUUGGUUGUGUUUCAUCCCCACGUACGUCCAGCAAAGAAAAAUUGAAGCUAGUGCAUGCAUGGUUCGUCAUCAAAUGCAUGGCCGGCCGGAUACAAAUUUGAACUGUAGCUAUCGACGUACGCAUGUAUUAAUUUAUAUCAGAGAAGACAAGGAACACAGAUACAUACAUGUCGAAACAAUCAUUUUCUAUGGCACUUGAGCUAGCUAGCAUACAAUUUUGUUUUAAAUGAAAUGAAACUGAAGACGAUCGAUCGAAUUGAAGGUUGUGGUUCGUGAGCAAUGCAAUGCAGUUUCACAGAACGUUGCCAAUGCAACAAGCCACCAAGAAAAGAGAAGUCUACUCGAUCUUGCAAUGAUUAGGCUUGGAUGAUGCGUGGGGCCACGUACGUAUGGACAUCGAAGAACCCCAUCCUCAGCGUGUGGCCUGAGGGUGAUGGCAAAGCUGAUCCACACAUUGCGGCCCCCUUUCCCCCCUCAGAGACCCUGACCUCCCGAGCACAGCCAGCCACCGCGCAACGCCGGCCACCACCACCACCACCAUACCUGCUAGCGCUAGCUCUCUUUAUUUAACGCCGCCGUGUGCGUGCCUCGACGACCUCACUACUUUGAGCUGCAAGGUCCGAACUAAAAAGCACAAGAAAUGGCGGCCGCCUUCUCCUCCACCGUCGGAGCUCCGGUGGGUGACCGCGCGUGUUAAUUCCAAGCAUCUGCUAGCUGCUCUGCUGCUAGUUCGGGAUCUUCUUCUUCAUGCAUGCAUUUCAUGAUCAUAUAUGUAUCUCCUUGAGACCUUCUUGACGGCAUAUAUAUGUAUAUGUACAUGCAUCAUGCAUCGACCGAUCAUCAGGCCUCCACCCCGACCAGGAGCAGCUUCCUCGGGAAGAAGCUCAACAAGCCGCAGGUGUCCGCGGCCGUGACCUACCAUGGCAAGAGCUCCAGCAGCAACAGCAGGUUCAAGGCGAUGGCUGCCAAGGAGGUGGACGAGACGAAGCAGACCGACGAGGACAGGUGGAAGGGCCUGGCCUACGACAUCUCGGACGACCAGCAGGACAUCACCAGGGGCAAGGGCCUCGUCGACAACCUCUUCCAGGCGCCUAUGGGGGACGGCACCCACGUCGCCGUGCUCAGCUCCUACGACUACAUCAGCCAGGGCCAAAAGUCUUACAACUUCGACAACAUGAUGGAUGGCUUCUACAUAGCCAAGGGCUUCAUGGACAAGCUCGUCGUCCACCUCUCCAAGAACUUCAUGACCCUGCCAAACAUCAAGGUUCCCCUCAUCCUGGGUAUCUGGGGAGGCAAAGGCCAGGGAAAAUCGUUCCAAUGCGAGCUGGUCUUCGCCAAGAUGGGCAUCACGUACGUUAAUUUAUUUCGAUUCGUCUAUUAUUAUUGCCUUCGAUAAUAUAUACUAGCUAGUAGUAAAUCAUUCCAAUGCAUGCAUGCAUGCAGCCCCAUCAUGAUGAGCGCCGGCGAGCUGGAGAGCGGCAACGCCGGAGAGCCCGCCAAGCUCAUCAGGCAGCGCUACCGUGAGGCCUCCGACCUCAUCAAGAAGGGCAAGAUGUCCUGCCUCUUCAUCAACGACCUCGACGCCGGCGCGGGUCGCAUGGGCGGCACCACCCAGUACACGGUGAACAACCAGAUGGUCAACGCCACCCUGAUGAACAUCGCCGACAACCCCACCAACGUGCAGCUCCCGGGGAUGUACAACAAGGAGGACAACCCCCGCGUGCCCAUCAUCGUCACCGGCAACGACUUCUCCACGCUCUACGCGCCGCUCAUCCGCGACGGCCGCAUGGAGAAGUUCUACUGGGCGCCCACCCGCGAGGACCGCAUCGGCGUCUGCAAGGGCAUCUUCCGCACCGACGGCGUCGACGAGGAGCACGUCGUCCAGCUGGUCGACACCUUCCCUGGCCAGUCCAUCGACUUCUUCGGCGCGCUGCGUGCCCGGGUCUACGACGACGAGGUCCGACGGUGGGUGAGCGAGACCGGCGUCGAGAACAUCGCCAGGAAGCUCGUCAACUCCAAGGAGGGCCCGCCCACGUUCGAGCAGCCCAAGAUAACGAUCGAGAAGCUCUUGGAGUACGGACACAUGCUGGUGGCGGAGCAGGAGAACGUCAAGCGUGUGCAGCUUGCUGACAAGUACCUCAACGAGGCUGCUCUUGGUGAAGCCAACGAGGACGCCAUGAAGACUGGCUCCUUCUUCAAGUAGAAAGCAACUCUUUGCUAUUGCUAGCUAGGCGCGAGGCCGGCAUAGGAUCGAGGAGGUGAAUAUAUAUAUUACUUGGAUAGUUUUGUAAUAUAUAUAUAUAUAUUACUGAACCAGGACAUGCAUACAUAUAUUCGUCUAUAUAAUGGAUCAUGUAUAUUUCAUUUCAGGGCGCCACCAAAAUGCAUUGGAGCUAACGAACAGCGAGGGGCGAUCAUGGCAGCAGCUGCCACUACAUCUUCUAAACUUGCCAUUUUUAUUAUCCCUGAUCCAUGUAUUACUCUUAAUUUGUACGUACUACAAUACGGGAUCUGGCCAAGCGCGAUAUAUAGCUGGGCAUGCAAAGUUUUUGUCGAUGUUUUUUUUUUGAAAGAAACAAGGUAGAAGGGCUAGCUGUGCUUGUUAAAUUAAAAAGAAGGUGAGCCAAGACUAGCAGAACAAGGCUGUACAAAAAAAACUACACAAAGUGUGCCAAAGAAGAACUCUCAGUGUCGGCCUAUAUAUCAAAAUUGCCAUAUGUUUCACUCCUGCCAUGAUCCACACUCCGCUUUCAUCUUUUAUUUUCUGUAUGUUGGGCUGUGUGUAUGUGUUGGUGUUGGGCUUGGACCUUGUACUUAGGGGUGUUUGGUUCCUUCAGUCAUAUGUGUUUGCAACCUAUAUGAGUACCCUAUCUGACGGAGUAUCCCCGUGACACAACGAACAUGUCUGGUGUCUUAUGGACCUCUCCAAACACGAUGUAGACCUCUACGAGUAAUAUAUCCAGUGCCCCAUUAUGUGCUACUUCAAUGCAAUCCUGCGUGUCAAGUGUACUCUGAUUUUCAGCCCUUUCUUCGGUACAGACGCUUCUCCUGUCCGAUGCUUUAUCUGGUGCUACACCAGACAUGUCCGAUGUUGCUCGGCAGCCUAUUUUAUUUUCUUCGUUUCUCUUUAAUCAAGCUUUUUCUAUCUUUUGUCUUGGACUCUUGCGUGAUUUCGGUAGGUUUUUGGCAUUUUUUCUAAUAUAUUGUUUGAAUUGUUGAUCUUCUCGAUCACCAUGUUGCCUUUGUCUAAGUCCACACUACAUCCUUUGAACUAUAUUCAUAAACACUAGCAAACAACAUAGUUCAAAUGGUUACGUUGGUCAUCAAAAACAAUAAUCCAUUAAUCAAAUUAGCUAGGUUCAUUUUCCUUACAACUACGAACAUGCUUGUGAGGGAAUCUUAUGCUCAUCCCUGCAGAAGAUUUGCGAAGAGGAAAUCUAGUUGAAUAGUAGCUUGUUGGAGCGCCGCUCUAUAGUUUGAUUCUUAUUAAACUAUUAUCAUGGGCUUGCGUUCUGACAUCAAUUAGUGUGUGAAUCACCUAGUUUGGACUCGCUAUAUCAAGGAUGUAGGUUGCCGACAAGUAACCAAAUCUCAUGGAUAAAUAUUGCGUCAUCUCUUGCCCUGUGUGGUUUGCCCUCUAAAUUAUCCUUGCUAAUUACAUAUAGUUGUUACUAGUUCAUACAUUUGUUAUAUAUAUGUUUUUUGUUUUAUUUCCCUUGUUUGGAACAUAGCUUGUCGUAGUCAUCCAUUUAUUUCACAAUAUAUUAGCUACUUUAGAGAAGUAGUCUAGAACAAAAAUAGUGCAACUAAUCGUUUGCGUACAUUCUUUUAUAUUGGCUCUAGUUACAUUUGUUAGAUUUGUAGAGUGUUUUUAUAGGCUAUUCAACCCCACUCUAGCCAUCUAGGUCCUUUCAAGUAGUACUAAAGCUAGAACACUAGUGUUUUUAGGCUUAACAUUGUAUGAUAAAAAGAUGGCUACUAAUUUUGUAGGCAGAGUAAUAUCCUCAUGUCGUGGUUUCGAAAACCAUGAGACAAUAAGAUUUGUGUGUCGACAAGGGUGCUAGCGCGGACUCACUCUAAAUGGUGAGCCACGAGGGGCUCGAAGGUGGAUUUGAGAGAGGGGUUAUACUGGUUCAGGCUUGCGCCCUAGUCUAGUGUAGUGCUGAUCAUAGUAUUAUUGCUUGGAGCAUGUUACAGUUGAGUGCUUGUGUGUUGAAGAUGGGGGUUGUCUUGUCCUUUUAUAGUUCAAGAGUAGAUUUUACACUGAGAACUUGCAUUCUUCCCAGGAGAAGUUCGAUCUAUUGCCUUGGGUUGCCUUAGCCCUCCUAGCGUCGUCCAUAGGGGGGUGCUGGCGAUUCUUGAUGUGGCAUUCUGUCUUGUCUACCCGAUGUUUUUGUCCCUGUAGCUUAUCUGAUGCCAACAUAGUGGUACACGGCGGGUCCCGCAGAGUGGCCUCAUGGUGAGGUUUAGGGUUGUAUUUAGUACAACUUCAUCAUCUAUCAUGACCCUUGCGUCACCUAUCGGUACGCGUUGGCAUACAACUGGUAUGGCGUACUAUCCCGUUCUUUCAGGUAAUCCGAUCACUGUAGAGGCUCCGAUGCUGAGGUACCUGUGAAUGGGUUUAACUGGUCCCACCGGUGAACGGGGGCACAUCUGAGAACGUAUUGGGAGUCGUGUUUGAUAGAGGCCCUUUGACAUUGUUCCCCUGGUACAGACAUGGUUUGGUGAUGGUUUGUUUUAUCGUACUGACGUUGCUCAGUGGUACUCAGUCAGCCCCCGCCCCCUCCCCUUGACCUGUGGGUCUGCUUGCUAGAGGGUUGGUCGGCAACUCCGUUUCGCCGAGUUACUCGGUAGGCAGAUGGUCAACAACUCUAUCUUGUCGUGUUGCUCGGCAAACGGGUUGGUAGGCAACUCCGCCUCGCCAUGUUCCUCGGCGAGCGGGUUGGUCGACAACUCUGUCUUGUCGUGUUGCUCGGCGAGCGGGUUGGUCGACAAUUCUGGCUCGCUGAUUUGCUCGGUAGGCGGGUUGGUCAGCAACUCCGCCUCGCCGAUUCGCUCGGUAGGCGGGUCGGUCGACAACUCCGCCUCGCCGAUUCGCACCUGGUUCCUAGCUACCCGACAGCAGCCCCCCGAGCCUGUGUGUAACUCCUUGGAGUUGCGCAGAGGCUUUUCCUAAGUGGUUGUCUUUUUAGGUGCGCGCAAGCGCAUCUGCUAGAUGUAGCCCCCGAGCAAUCGACGUGGAUUACUUGAGGGUUUAUGCAGUGUAAGGGGUGGACCCUUUUCUGUGGUGGUUCAUCACGCACUGGGCAUGGGCCCAUUUGUUAUUGCCUAGCUCGCUUUUAAUAGCAAGGGCCUUUGGCACACAUAAACGCAUCUGCUAGAUGUAGCCCCCGAGCUCCCGAGUAAUCCAUGUGGAUUGCUUGGGGGUUAUGCAGUGUAAGGGACGGACCCAUUUUCUGUGGUGGUCCAUCACACACUAGGCAUGAGUCCAUUUGUUAUUGCCUAGCUCGCUUUUGCUAGCCAGGGCCUCGGGCGCGCGCAAACGCAUCUGCUAGAUGUAGCCCUCGAGCCCUCGAGUAAUCCAUGUGGAUUGCUUGGGGGUUUAUGAAGUGUAAGGGACGAACCCUUUUCUGCAAUGGUCUUCACGCAUCGGGUGUGAGACCAUUUCGGUCGAAGCUAGGCAUGGCUUCUGGUACUUGUUUCUUCGCUUGGCGGUAUGAUUCCUUUUGUGCGCGCAUCUCCUUCGAGAAGGUUCCUUUGAAAUCCUUGUGGGGGGGAGGGCCCCCUCCUCCAACCUAGUUGGUGCGUGGAGGGGGUCGUCGAGCUACGAACGGGUUAUCCAAGUGAGAUAUGACAACCCUUCGACUGGGCGUAGUCUCGGCGAGUGGUCCGACUAGGGGGCUCGAUCCGCUGGGCAUCUUAUCAAGUCCUUCCUUAUGCAAUCCUGUAUCAGCCCUUUGGUCCGUGGCCACCCCGUCGGCCGAGUUUUCACGGGAGAAUGUGAGGUACGAUCUUGGACGUGGAUUCGAGCAAAUGACCUAUGGGACGGUCACCUUGCCUGUGGCUCGCUAGGAGCAUGCUCGGUCCAUCCCUUGCUCUAUGUGGGAUUUUUGAAUGCAUUUUGAUUUAUCACCUAGCUAUUUCGAGACAGUUACUAUUGUGGUGCGGUAAUAACGGGUAGCCAUCAUGAUGUUACUUGGUGUGAGCGACCUGAUGGGACGUGAAAUGGUUCGUCUGUCAUGUCGUGCUUGGGUUGCGUGGUGGUCUGGCUAACCUCCCCGGUCGUUACUAUUGUACCUCUCGUGGCUUAUCUUCCUGGUGCUCUACCCCAGGCGGCGAGGUCCUGCAAAACACAUGGUCUCUUUGCUCUAUACCCGUGGUUCCUCCAUCGUUUGUUCGUGGUUGUCCCUGGCUUUGCAUAAAUAAAGGAAGAGUGUGCUCAAGGUCAGUUUACGCUUACCAUACCCUUGCGUUAUGCCUUUUGGAACCUCUCGUGUUGUUCUUCCUCCCUGUGUCGUUCCGACUUGCUCCCUAUGUGUAUGGCAUCAUUCCCAGCCAACUCAAUCUGAGAGAGUCUCCUCCAUGGCCUAGAGAAGAAAGGGUUCAUUCCCCUGAAGGAUGUUUCGAGGUGGAGAUUGGAUAGAGAGGGGAAAGUGCCAUGUCCUGGGGAUGAUGAGGUGGUCAUGCUCGCGUCCUUUUAUGAGUGCGGGUUCGGCCUCCCCCUGCACCCCUUCAUGCAUGGGCUUCUUCAUUACUAUCAGUUGGAGGUGCAGAACCUUCAUCACAAUGUCAUUCUUCACAUAGUGUGUUUAAUCAUGCUAGGUGAGGUGUUCAUGGGGAUCGAUCCGCAUUGGGGGAUGUGGCAAUACCUCUUCAGUGUGCGAGUGUCCCCGGGCCGCGGCGACCAACUGAAAGGGAAAUGUGCCCUUGGGCAAUUUCUAUAAUGUUUUGGUGAUUAAGUGACCAACACGUUUAAUUAAGUUCUUAUGUGCCAAAUAAAGUGAGAAAUGCAAAUCAAGGCAAAAGGUAUGUUUCUAGACUUGGUGAAUUGUUUUAUGUACUAACAUGAUUAUCCAAGUGCGAGAAACAGUGACUAAAGAAGAAGAGAGAAAAAGGAAAAGACUUGGCUCUGUGCAGCCAAUCUUCAGCUCGGUCUGGCACACCGGACUGUCCGGUGCUGCAUCGAACAGUGUCCAGUGCGCCAGGCUGGUCCGCGGUGAACUCGCCGCUCUAGGGAUUCGACGGCGGCGUACGACUAUAAUUCACCGGACUGUCCGGUGGAGCACCGGACUGUCCGGUGGGUCAUCCGAGGCGAACUCGUUACUCUCGGGAAUGAAGAAAGGCGACAUGGUUAAAAUUCACCGGACUGUCCGGUGGUGCACCGGACUGUCCGGUGAGCCAACGGUCGCCAGCGCCAACGGUCGGCCGCGAAAUCAGCGGGCGACGCGUGGCAGCUCUAACGGUCAGAGGGGGGCACCGGACUGUCCGGUGCGCCAACGGGCCCGGAGCUGCAACGGUCGUCUGUGCCCGAUUUGGAAGGAAAUCGCGCACCGGACAGGCUACAGUAGCUGUUCGGUGGCGCACCGGACUGUCCGGUGCGCCACUCGACAGAAGGCAAGGAUGGCCUUCCAAGUUUGCCUCCAACGGCUCCUAGCUACCUUGUGGCUAUAAAAGGGACCCCUAGGCGCAUGGAGGAAUCAUCUAAGCAUUCACUAAGCAUUCUAAGACUCUCACACUCCACAUCCUCGCAUUUGAUCGAUUGUGUUAGUGAUUUGAGCUCCGUUCGAGUUGUGAACUCUCUGUGCUACAUUUCGAGCUCAAGUCUUGGCUUGUGUGUGUGUGUGUGCUGCGGAUUUGUGUGUUGUGUGUGUUGCUCUCCUAGCCUUACUCUUGUGCCUUCUUUGUGAUCUUUAUUGUAAGGGCGAGAGACUCCAACUUGUGGAGAUUCCUCACAAAUGGGCGAAAGACUAUAAGGAAAAAAGUCGUGGUAUUCAAGUUGAUCAUUGGAUCACUUGAAAGGGUUUGAGUGCAACCCUCAUCCAUUGGGACGCUACAACAUGGAAGUAGGCAAGUGUCACUUGGCCGAACCACGGGAUAAAAAUCGCGUGUCUCUUGUGUUGCUUUCUCUGUGAUUGUUUUGUCCACAAGAACUCGCCUCAAAACUACUUAGUCGUACUAACACGUCUAUAACUAAAUUUUGUGGCUAUUUAGUGUUUGAUUUUACAGGAUCACCUAUUCACCCCCCUCUAGGUGCUCUCAAUUGGUAUCAGAGCUGUACUCUUCAUUUAAGGGACUAACCGCCCAAAGAGAUGGAUCCUAAAGGAAAGGGGAUGGUGGUCAACGACAAGGAAAAGGAGUCUGUCUUCAACGAGCCAAGAGACGACAAGCCUACUAACUCAGGCUCGAGUCAAAAGAAGAGAGACGGGAAGAAGAAGAGGCGCAUCAAGAAGAUCAUCUACUACGACAGCGAUGCCUCAUCUUCUUCACCACACGACGAAGACGACGACUCUUCAAAAAAAGAAAACGGUUAAUCAAAACUAUUCAUUUGAUUAUUCUCGUAUUCCAUUUAAUUCAAAUGCUCAUUUGCUAUCAAUUCCACUUGGGAAACCUCCACACUUUGAUGGAGAAGGCUACUCUUUCUGGAGUCAUAAAAUGCGUAGUCAUUUAUUUUCUCUCCAUCCUAGUAUCUGGGAGAUUGUUGAAAACAGAAUGCAUUUUGAUAGUACUGACAAUCCCAUUUUCAUAAAUGAGCAAAUUCAUAAAAAUGCACAAGCUACUACUGUCUUGCUAGCUUCACUUUGCAGGGAUGAAUAUAAUAAGGUGAGCGGCUUAGACAACGCCAAGCAAAUCUGGGACACCCUCAAGAUAUCUCAUGAGGGAAACGACGCCAUCAUGAUCACCAAAAUGGAGCUGGUGGAAGGCGAGCUGGGGAGAUUCGCGAUGAUCAUGGGAGAGGAGCCAACUCAGACUUACAACAGGCUCAAGACUCUGGUCAACAAGAUCUGAAGCUAUGGAAGCACAAGAUGGACAGAUCAUGAUGUCGUCCGACUCAUGCUAAGGUCAUUUAAUGUAAUUGACCCCCAUCUUGUCAAUCUUAUUCGUGAGAAUCCCAGGUACACCAAGAUGACGCCCGAGGAGAUUCUUGGAAUAUUUGUGAGCGGACGCAUGAUGGUGAAGGAGGCUCGAUACGUGGACGAUGCUCUAAAUGGUCCACUUCCCGUCUACGAGCCUCAACCUGUUGCUCUUAAGGCAAACAGUAGCAGGGAGGCACUUCCAAGCAAGGUGGCACAAGUGGAGGCUGUUGGCCUCAACGAGGAUGAGAUGGCGCUUAUCAUCAAGCGCUUCAAGACCGCGCUUAAAGGACACAAGGAGUACCCCAACAAGAACAAAACAAGGGGAAAGCGCUCCUGCUUUAAAUGCGGUAAGACUGGUCACUUUAUUGCAAAUUAUUCCGAUAAUGAUAGUGACCAGGGACAAGAAAAGAGCGGGAAGAAGGAGAAAAAGAAGAACUACAAGAAGGCAAAGGGCGAGGCGCACCUUGGAAAGGAAUGGGACUCGGACUGCUCCUCCUCCGACUCUGAUGACGAAGGACUCGCUGCCUCGGCCUUCAACAAAUCCUCACUCUUCCCUAACAAACGCCAUACAUGUCUUAUGGCCAAGGAGAAAAAGGUACGUGCUCGGGACACACCCAAGUACACUUCAUCUAGUGAUGAAGAAUCCUCCGAUGAUGAAGUAGAUUACACUAGUUUAUUUAAAGGUUUAGAUAGAGCCAAAGUAGAGAAAAUUAAUGAAUUAAUUGAUGCUCUAAAUAAAAAAGAUAGAUUGCUAGAGAAGCAAUAAGAUAUUUUGUAUGAAGAACAUGACAAAUUUAUUAGUGUUCAAAAAUCUCUUGCUCUAGAAAUUAAAAGAAAUGAAAUGCUAUCCUCUGAGUUGUCUGCUUGCCAUGAAUCUGUUUCUAGUUUAAGGAGUUUAAAUGAUGAAUUAAAUGCUAAGCUAGAGGAAGUUAAUAAAUCUAGUUCAUGUGUAGAGCAUGUUGUUAUUUGUAAUAGAUGUAAGGAUUUUGAUGUUGAUGCCUGUAAUGAACAUAUUGCUUCCAUUACUAAAUUAAAUGAUGUGGUGGCAAGUCUUAAUGCUCAACUUAAGACUUGCAAAAUUAAGUUUGAUAAAUUAAAAUUUGCUAGGGAUGCCUACACUAUUGGUAGACAUCCCUCUAUUAAGGAUGGACUUGGUUUUCGAAAGGAAACCAAGAACUUAACAAGCCAAAAGGCUCCCAUUCUCAACAAGGAGAAAGGGAAGGCCCCCAUGGCUAGUAGUUCUAAAAAAUGUCAUGCCUACAUUUAUGAUAGAAAAUUUUCUAGGAAUGCUUAUAAUGAUAGAGACUAUGAUCAUGCUAUGAUUGCUUCUAGCUCUACUUUUAUGCAUGGUAGAAAUAGGCCUAGGCGCAAUCAUGUUGUGUCUCAUGCGCCUAGGAGGAAUAAUGUUGUGUCUCAUAUGCCUAGAAAAAUGUGCAAUGAACCCACUACUGUUUUUCAUGCUUGCAACACUUCUUUUGUUAUUUCAUGUAAGAAUGCAAAAGUAGUGGCAAGGAAGUUGGGAUCCAAAUGCAAGGGAGACCAAACAUGCAUAUGGGUUCCAAAAAAUAUUUUUACUAACCUUGUAGUACCCAACAAGAGUUGGGUACCUAAAACCCAAGCUUAAAUUCCUUGCAGGUUUAUGCAUCCGGGGGCUCAAGCUGGAUUAUCGACAGCGGAUGCACAAACCAUAUGACGGAGGAGAAGAAGAUGUUCACCUCCUAUGUCAAGAACAAGGAUUCCCAGGAUACGAUCAUCUUUGGAGAUGGGAACCAAGGCAAGGUCAAAGGCUUGGUCAAGAUAGCCAUCACCAACGAGCACUCCAAAUCGAAUGUAUUUCUAGUAGAGUCGCUUGGUUACAACCUUCUGUCUGUAAGUCAAUUGUGUCACAUGGGUUACAAUUGUCUUUUUACAAAUGUUGAUGUAUCUGUCUUUAGAAGGAGUGAUGGUUCAUUAGCUUUUAAUGGUGUAUUAGAUGGCAAACUCUACUUAGUUGAUUUUUCAAAAGAGGAGGUCGAUCUAGAUGCAUGCUUAAUAGCUAAGACUAGUAUGGACUGGCUAUGGCAUCGUCAUCUAGCACAUGUUGGGAUGAAGAACCUUCAUAAACUUCUAAAGGGAGAACAUGUGUUAGGACUAACCAAUGUUUGUUUCGAGAAAGAUAGGCCUUGUGCAGCAUGUCAGGCAGGGAAACAGGUGGGAAGCACUCAUCAUAGCAAGAAUGUGAUGACAACAUCAAGACCACUGGAGCUUCUUCACAUGGACCUCUUCAUACCCGUUGCCUACCUUAGCAUUGGGGGAAGUAAGUAUGGUCUUAUAAUUGUUGAUGAUUUUUCCCGCUUCACUUGGGUGUUCUUUUUGCAGGAUAAAUUAGAAACCCAAGGGACCCUAAAGCGCUUUCUAAGGAGGGCUUAAAACGAAUUUGAGAUAAAGGUGAAAAAGAUAAGGAGCGACAACGGGUCCGAGUUCAAGAAUCUGCAAGUUGAGGAAUAUCUUGAGGAAGAAGGCGUCAAGCACGAGUUCUCCGCUCCCUACACACCACAGCAAAAUGGUGUGGUAGAGAGGAAGAAUAGGAAGCUUAUCGACAUGGCGAGAACGAUGCUUGGAGAGUUCAAGACGCCCGAGCGGUUUUGGUCGGAAGCUGUGAACACAGCUUGCCACGCCAUAAACCGGCUCUAUCUGCAUCGCCUUCUCAAGAAGACCUACGAACUCCUUACCGGUAACAAACCUAAUGUCUCCUACUUUCGUGUAUUUGGGAGCAAAUGUUACAUUCUAGUGAAGAAAGGUAGACAUUCUAAAUUUGCUCCCAAGGCAGUAGAAGGGUUUUUACUAGGGUAUGACUCAAAUACAAAGGCGUAUAGAGUCUUCAACAAAUCAUCGGGUUUGGUUGAAGUCUCUAGCGAUGUUGUAUUUGAUGAGACUAAUGGCUCUCCAAGAGAGCAAGUUGAUCUUGAUGACAUAGAUGAAGAUGAUGUUCCAACGGUCACAAUGCGCACGAUGGCGAUUGGUGAUGUGCGACCACAGGAACAACAGGAGCAAGAUCAGCCAUCUUCCUCCACAAUGGUGCAUCCUCCAACUCAAGACGGUGAACAAGUACCUCAAGAAGAGGGACAAGAUCAAGGGGGAGCACGGGAAGAACAAGUGAUGGAGGAAGAAGCACCACGUGCCCCUCCAACUCAAGUCCGAGCAACGAUCCAACGACAUCACCACGUUGACCAGAUUCGGGGUGACAUAAGCAAGGGAGUAACUACUCGCUCAAGAUUAGCUAACUUUUGUGAGCAUUACUCGUUUGUCUCUUCUAUUGAGCCUUUUAGGGUAGAAAAGGCCUUGCAGGAUCCGGAUUGGGUGUUGGCCAUGCAGGAAGAACUCAACAACUUCAAGAGAAAUGAAGUUUGGAGCCUGGUGCCACGUCCAAAGCAAAAUGUUGUGGGAACCAAGUGGGUGUUCCGCAACAAGCAAGACGAGCACGGGGUGGUGACAAGAAACAAGGCUCGACUUGUGGCAAAAGGUUAUGCCCAAGUCGCAUGUUUGGAUUUUGAGGAGACUUUUGCUCCUAUGGCUAGGCUAGAGUCUAUUCAAAUUUUAUUAGCAUAUGCCGCUCACCACUCUUUUAGGCUAUUUCAAAUGGAUGUGAAGAGCGCUUUCCUCAAUGGGCCAAUAAAGGAGGAGGUAUACGUGGAACAACCCCUGGCUUUGAGGAUGAUAGGUACCCCGACCAUGUGUUCAAGCUCUCUAAGGCGCUCUAUGGACUUAAGCAAGCCCCAAGAGCAUGGUAUGAAUGCCUUAGAGAUUUCUUAAUUGCUAAUGCCUUCAAGGUUGGGAAAGUCGAUCCCACUCUUUUUACAAAGACUUGUGAUGGUGAUCUUUUUGUGUGCCAAAUUUAUGUCGAUGACAUAAUAUUUGGUUCUACUAAUCAAAAGUCUUGUGAGGAGUUUAGCAGGGUGAUGACACAAAAGUUUGAGAUGUCGAUGAUGGGCGAGUUGACCUACUUCCUUGGGUUCCAAGUAAAGCAACUCAUGAACGACACCUUCAUCUCCCAAACGAAGUACACACAAGAUCUUCUCAAACGGUUUGGGAUGAAAGACGCCAAGCCCGCGAAGACACCGAUGGGAACCGACGGGCAUGUUGACCUCAACAAAGGAGGUAAGUCCGUUGAUCAAAAGGCAUACCGGACUAUGAUAGGUGCUAGUAGACCGGACAUUAUGCUAAGUGUAUGCAUGUGUUCUAGAUAUCAAUCCGACCCCAAGGAAUGUCACCUUGUGGCCGUUAAGCGAAUUCUUAGAUAUUUAGUUUCUACUCCUUGCUUCGGGAUCUGGUAUCCAAAGGGGUCUACCUUUGACUUGAUUGGAUACUCAGACUCCGAUUAUGCCGGGUGCAAGGUUGAUAGGAAGAGCACAUCAGGGACGUGCCAAUUUUUAGGAAGGUCCCUGGUGUCCUGGAGCUCUAAGAAACAAACAUCUGUUGCCCUAUCCACCGCUAAGGCCGAGUAUGUUGCCGCAGGACAAUGUUGCGUGCAACUACUUUGGAUGAGGCAAAUCCUCCGGGACUUUGGCUACAAUCUGAGCAAAGUCCCACUCCUAUGUGACAAUGAGAGUGCAAUCCGCAUGGCGGAUAAUCCUGUUGAACACAGCCGCACUAAGCACAUAGACAUCCGGCAUCACUUCCUGAGAGACCACCAGCAAAAGGGAGAUAUCGAGGUGUACCAUAUUAGCACCGAGAACCAGCUAGCCGAUAACUUUACCAAGCAGUUGGAUGAGAAAACUUUUUGCAGGUUGCGUAGUGAGCUAAAUGUCUUAGAUUCGCGUAACUUGGAUUGAUCUAUAGCUUACAUGUGUUCUAUGCCUUUGAUCAUGUUACUUUAUGCAUUUAAAUCCAUUCCUGAUCCCCGGACCUCACAAGUCCAUUAGCAAGUGAUGCACAUAUUAAGGGGGAGAUGUGCUACAACUUGACCUUUUGAGAAUAACCUGGUUGUUUGAGUAUACUUGAUAUAGUCUAAGAGGUGCAUUGAAAGGGAAAUGUGGACUUGGACGAUGCAAAGACUUCCACUACACUCCGAUAUUAGUGUAAUUAAUUCCAAGUUCAUACUUAUGCUCUUAUUGCCUUUUGCUCUUAAUUGACAUUUUUGGUGAGGCAAUGGGGUUAAAGGGCCAAAAAUGAUCUCGUUUUGGUGCUUAAUGCCAAAGGGGGAGAAAUUAAGGCCAAAGCAACUGGAUCAGCCAACCACUUGAGAAUUUUGAAAAUAGUAGAGUUAGAAUUUGUGAUUUCUCUAAAAAUACUCUUAUUGCAAAAUUUGGUCUCUUAUGGGGGAGAAUUUUGAUUAUGGGAAAAAGGGGGAGUUUUUGGUACUUGAUCAAUCCUUCUCUUGGAAUAUCUCUCGAUUUGCCCAAACAAGUGUGUUUGACUUAGAGAUAGGAAAAAGAAUUUGAUUUGCAAAAACAAACCAAGUGGUGGCAAAGAAUGAUCCAAAUAUGUCAAAUCUUGUGCAAAAAUGAUUUGCUCCUAAGCUGCAUUGAUGUUGCACUUAUUUUGGUAGCUUUUUUGAUGUGUUGGUAUAAAUCACCAAAAAGGGGGAGAUUGAAAGGGAAAUGAGCCCUUGGGCAAUUUCUAUAAUGUUUUGGUGAUUAAGUGCCCAACACGUUUAAUUAAGUUCUUAUGUGCCAAAUAAAGUGAGAAGUGCAAAUCAAGGCAAAAGGUAUGUUUCUAGACUUGGUGAAUUGUUUUAUGUACUAACAUGAUUAUCCAAGUGCGAGAAACAGUGACUAAAGAAGAAAAGAGAAAAAGGAAAAGACUUAGCUCUAUGCAGCCAAACUUCAGCUCGGUCUGGCAUACCGGACUGUCCGGUGGUGCACCGGACAGUGUCCGGUGCGCCAGGCUGGUCCGCGGUGAACUUGCCGCUCUAGGGAUUCAACGGCGGCGUACGGCUAUAAUUCACCGGACUGUCCGGUGGGUCAUCUGAGGCAAACUCGUUACUCUCGGAAAUGAAGAAAGGCGACGUGGUUAAAAUUCACCGGACUGUCUGGUGGUGCACCGGACUGUCCGGUGAGCCAACGGUCGGCCGCGAAAUCUGCGGGCGACGCGUGGCAGCUCCAACGGUCGGCGGGGGGCACCAGACUGUUCGAUGCGCCAACGGGCCCGGAGCUGCAACGGUCGUCUGUGCCCAAUUUGGAAGGAAAUCGUGCACCGGACAGGCUAGAGUAGCUGUCCGGUGCGCCACUCGACAGAAGGCAAGGAUGGUGAGAGCACCUAGAGGGGGAGUGAAUAGUGUUGGGAAUAGUCCCACAUUGUGUGGUGAGGGUGGGAAAGCAUGGUUUAUAUGGUUGAGGGUGCAACCCCUAACAGGCUAGCUUUUUGGGGGAGUGUUGGCCCAAGAGACCUAAAGCCCGCUGCUAUAUGUGCGGGCGCGUGUGUCGCAGACCGAUAGCCUGGGUGGGCGCGCCGUGUGUGUGGGCGGCCCCGACGGACAUGCCAUGUGUCGGCGGUCUGGUUCCAACAAAUAGGUGAUCCUGUAAAAUUCAACAACUAAUAGCCACAAAUCUUGGUUAUAUAAAAGUUAGUGCGACUAAGUAGUUGCGAAGCGAGUUCUUGUGGCCAAGACAAUCACAAAGAGAUCAACACAAGAGUGAAAGGGAAAUGUGCCUUUGGGCCAUUUCUAAGUAUUUUGGUGAUUGAGUGCAAACACAAGUGCUUAAAUGUGAAAAUAUGCCCAUGGAUGAACAAAGUGCAAAUCACAAGUUAAGGUAUGUUUCUAAGCCUUAGUACAUUGGUUUUGUGUACUAAUAUUCUUGUCUAAGUGUUAGAAACAGGAAGAAGAAGAGGAGUGGAGGGCUGCUUCGGGCUGGGGCACCGGACUGUCCGGUGUGCACCGGACAGUGUCCGGUGCGCCAGACCAGCGCGGAGCAAACCAGCCGCUCUCGGGUUUUUCUCCGGCGACUUCGGCUAAAAUUCACCGGACUGUCCGGUGUGCACCGGACUGUCCGGUGAGCCAACGGUCGGCCGGGCCAACGGUCGGCCGCGUGAUCGGCACGCGACACGUGGCCGAGCCAACGGUCGGAAGGAGGCACCGGACUGUCCGGUGUGCACCGGACUGUCCGGUGCGCCAGAUCUGCAACGGUCGGCAACGGUCGGCUGCGCUGUUUAUGGAAAUAAAUCGGGCACCGGACAGUGUCCGGUGUGCACCGGACUGUCCGGUGCGCCCGACGGCAGAAGGCAAGGAUAGCCUUCCAGAUGUGUUCUCAACGGCUCCUAGCUGCCUUGGGGCUAUAAAAGGGACCCCUAGGCGCAUGGAGGAGGACACCAAGCAUUCCUACAACACUCCUAAACAUCAAGACAUCGAUCUCGCGCAUUUGUUUCAUUGUGAUAGCAUAUAGAGCUCUUGUGGAGUUGUGAACUCUUUGAGUUGUGUUGCGAGCUCUUGUUGCGACUUGUGUGCGUGCUGUUGCUCUGAUCUUUUGAAGUCUUGUGUGUGUUGCUCAUCCCCUUACUUACUCCGUGAUUCUCUGUGAACAUCUUUUGUAAGGGCGAGAGGCUCCAAGUUGUGGAGAUUCCUCGCAAACGGGAUUGAGAAAAGAAAAGCAAGAACACCGUGGUAUUCAAGUUGAUCAUUGGAUCACUUGAGAGGAGUUGAGUGCAACUCUCGUCCAUUGGGACGCCACAACGUGGAGUAGGCAAGUUUUUGUACUUGGCCGAACCACGGGAUAACCACCGUGUCAUCUCUGUGAUUGAUUUCUUGUGGUUAUUGUGUUUUGACUCCUAUCUAGCCACCUGGCCAUACUUGUGCUAACACUUAACAAGUUUUUGUGGCUUAAGUUUUGAAGUUUUACAGGAUCACCUAUUCACCCCCCCUCUAGGUGCUCUCAAUUGGUAUCAGAACCGUUCUCUUCAAAGAAAGGGACUAACCGCCCGAAGAGAUGGAUCCUAAGGGGAAGGGAAUCGUGAUCAACGACAAGGAAAAGGAGUCCUUCGUCAACGAGCCAAAGGAUGACAAGUCCAACGACUUGGGCUCAGGCUAUAAACGAAAAGAUGGGAAGAAGAAGAAGACAAGGCGCAUCAAGGAGAUUGUCUACUACGACAGCGACGAAUCUUCCUCUUCCCAAAAGGACGACGACAACGACUACAGGAAGACGGUUAAUUCAAACUUUUCAUUUGAUUAUUCUCGUAUUCCACAUAGUUCGAAUUCGCAUUUGCUUUCCAUUCCUCUUGGCAAACCUCCACACUUCGAUGGGGAGGACUACGGAUUUUGGAGUCACAAAAUGCGUAGUCACCUAUUCUCUCUCCAUCCAAGCAUAUGGGAGAUUGUAGAGAAUGGAAUGAAAUUUGAUAGCUCGGAUAGCCCUAUGCUUAUAAAUGAACAAAUCCAUAGAAAUGCACAAGCUACUACUGUUCUCUUAGCAUCUUUGUGCAGGGAAGAAUACAAUAAGGUGAGCGGCUUGGACAAUGCCAAGCAGAUAUGGGACACCCUCAAAAUCUCUCACGAGGGCAACGACGUCACCAUGCUCACCAAGAUGGAGUUGGUGGAAGGCAAACUUGGGAGAUUCGCUAUGAUAAGGGGAGAGGAGCCAACCCAAACAUACAACCGGCUCAAGACCCUUGUCAACAAGAUAAGGAGCUAUGGAAGCACGCGAUGGACGGACCAUGACGUCGUCCGCCUAAUGCUAAGGUCCUUUACCGUUCUUGAUCCUCAUUUGGUGAAUAAUAUUCGUGAGAAUCCCAGGUACACCAAAAUGUCGCCCGAAGAAAUUCUUGGAAAAUUUGUAAGCGGGCGGAUGAUGAUCAAGGAGGCAAGGUACGUCGAUGACGCGUUGAACGGUCCAAUUCACGAGCCUCAACCCAUUGCUCUCAAGACAUCGAGAAGCAAGGAGGCACUACCAAGCAAGGUGGCGCAAAUUGAGGCGGCCGGACUUAAUGAUGAAGAAAUGGCUCUCAUCAUUAAGCGCUUCAAGACGGCGUUAAGGGGUCGCAAGGAGCAUCCCAACAAGACCAAGACGAAGGGGAAGCGCUCAUGCUUCAAGUGUGGUAAGAUUGGUCACUUUAUCGCUAAUUGUCCCGAUAAUGAUAGUGACCAGGAAAAGAAGAGUGGAAAAUGGGAAAAGAAGAAGAAUUACAAGAAGGCAAAGGGCGAGGCUCAUAUUGGAAAGGAGUGGGAUUCGGAUUGCUCCUCGUCCGACUCCGACAACGAAGGACUCGCCGCCACCGCCUUCAACAAGUCAUCCCUCUUCCCCAACGAGCAUCACACGUGCCUCAUGGCUAAGGAGAAGAAAGUAAGUACUCGAAACUCUACUUAUGCUUCUUCUAGUGAGGAUGAGUCUAGUGAUGAUGAAAUAGACUAUUCAUGCUUAUUUAAAGGUUUAGAUAGAUCUAAGAUUGACAAAAUUAAUGAAUUGAUUGAUGCUUUAAAUGAUAAGAAUAGGCUACUAGAAAAGCAAGAGGAUCUCUUGUACGAAGAACAUGAUAAGUUUGUAGAGACUCAAAAAUCCCUUGCAUUAGAAAUUAAGAGAAAUGAAAUGCUUGCUUGUGAAUUGUCCACAUGCCAUGAUUCAAUUUCUAAAUUAAAGAGCAUUAAUGAUGACUUAAAUGCUAAACUAGUAGAAGCACAAAAAUCCAACUCUUGUGUUGAACAUGUUGAAAUUUGCACUAGGUGUAAGAAUGUUGAUAUUAAUGCUUGUAGUGAUCACUUGGUUUCAAUUUCUAAAUUGAAUGAUGAAGUGGCUAGUCUUAAUGCUCAACUUAAGGCUAGCAAAAACGAAUUUGAUAAGCUAAAAUUUGCAAGGGAUGCCUACACUAUUGGUAGACACCCCUCAAUUAAGGAUGGACUUGGCUUCAAAAGGGAAGCCAAGAACUUAACAAGCCAUAAGGCUCCCAUUCCCGCUAAGGAGAAAGGGAAGGCCCCUAUGGCUACUAGUGCUAAAAAGAACCAUGCCUUUUUGUAUCAUGAUAGGAAAAAUUCUAGAAAUGUUUUUAGAAGUUAUGAUGCUUUUGAUUCACAUGCCUAUGAUUCUUAUGCCAUGACUGCUUCUAGUUCUUCCUAUAUGCAUGGUAGAAAUAUGACUAGGAGAAAUGCUAUUCAUCAUGUGCCUAGAAAGAAUACUAUUCAUGCUCCUAGGAAAGUAGUAAAUGAACCUUCUACAAUUUAUUGUACUUUAAAUGCUUCCUUUGCUAUUUGUAGAAAGGAUAGGAAGAUAGUUGCUAGGAAGUUAGGGGCAAAAUGCAAGGGAGACAAAACUUGCAUUUGGGUCCCUAAGAAUAUUUGUGCUAACCUUGUAGGACCCAACAAGAGUUGGGUACCUAAGUCCCAAGCCUAAAUUUGCCUUGCAGGUUUAUGCAUCCGGGGGUUCAAGCUGGAUUAUUGAUAGCGGAUGCACAAACCAUAUGACGGGGGAGAAGAAGAUGUUCACCUCCUACGUCAAGAAUAAGGAUUCCCAAGAUUCAAUUAUAUUCGGUGAUGGGAAUCAAGGCAAGGUAAAAGGAUUAGGUAAAAUUGCAAUCUCAAAUGAGCACUCAAUUUCCAAUGUGUUUUUAGUUGAGUCCUUGGGAUAUAAUUUGCUAUCUGUUAGUCAAUUAUGCAACAUGGGGUAUAACUGUCUAUUUACAAAUAUAGAUGUGUCUGUCUUUAGAAGAAGUGAUGGUUCACUAGCUUUUAAGGGUGUAUUAGACGGCAAACUUUAUUUAGUUGAUUUUGCAAAAGAGGAGGCCGGUCUAGAUGCAUGCUUAAUAGCUAAGACUAGCAUGGGCUGGCUGUGGCAUCGCCGCUUAGCACAUGUGGGGAUGAAGAACCUUCACAAGCUUCUAAAGGGAGAACACGUGAUAGGUUUGACUAACGUACAAUUCGAAAAAGAUAGACCUUGUGCAGCUUGUCAAGCAGGUAAACAAGUUGGAGGAGCACAUCACAGCAAGAAUGUGAUGACCACUUCAAGACCCCUGGAGCUGCUGCAUAUGGACCUCUUCGGACCCGUCGCCUAUCUGAGCAUAGGAGGGAGUAAGUAUGGUCUAGUUAUUGUUGAUGACUUUUCCCGCUUCACUUGGGUGUUCUUUUUGCAGGAUAAGUCUGAAACCCAAGGGACCCUCAAGCGCUUCCUCAGGAGAGCUCAAAAUGAGUUUGAGCUCAAGGUGAAGAAGAUAAGAAGCGACAACGGGUCCGAGUUCAAGAACCUUCAAGUGGAAGAGUUCCUUGAGGAGGAAGGGAUCAAGCAUGAGUUCUCCGCUCCCUACACACCACAGCAAAAUGGUGUGGUAGAGAGGAAGAACAGGACGCUAAUCGACAUGGCAAGGACUAUGCUUGGUGAGUUCAAGACCCCCGAGCGGUUUUGGUCGGAAGCCGUGAACACGGCUUGCCACGCCAUCAACAGGGUCUACCUUCACCGCCUCCUCAAGAAGACGUCGUAUGAGCUUCUAACCGGUAACAAACCCAAUGUAUCUUACUUUCGUGUAUUUGGGAGCAAGUGCUACAUUCUAGUGAAGAAGGGUAGAAAUUCUAAGUUUGCUCCCAAAGCUGUAGAAGGGUUUUUAUUAGGUUAUGACUCAAAUACAAAGGCGUAUAGAGUCUUCAACAAAUCAUCGGGUUUGGUUGAAGUCUCUAGCGACGUUGUAUUUGAUGAGACUAAUGGCUCUCCAAGAGAGCAAGUUGUUGAUUGUGAUGAUAUAGAUGAAGAAGAUGUUCCGACGGCCGCUAUACGGACCAUGGCGAUUGGAGAAGUACAGCCACAGGAACAAGAUGAACGAGAUCAACCUUCUUCCUCAACUAUGGUGCAUCCCCCAACCGAAGAUGACGAACAGGUACCUCAAGUGGAGGCGCUUGAUCAAGGGGGAGCACAAGAUGAUCAAGUGAUGGAGGAAGAAGCGCAACCGGCACCUCCAACCCAAGUUCGAGCGAUGAUUCAAAGGGAUCAUCCCGUCGAUCAAAUUCUGGGUGACAUUAGCAAGGGAGUAACUACUCGAUCUCGAUUAGUUAAUUUUUGUGAGCAUUACUCCUUUGUCUCUUCUAUUGAGCCUUUCAGGGUAGAGGAGGCCUUGCUAGAUCCGGAUUGGGUAUUGGCCAUGCAGGAGGAGCUCAACAACUUCAAGCGCAAUGAAGUUUGGACACUGGUGCCUCGUCCGAAGCAAAAUGUUGUGGGAACCAAGUGGGUGUUCCGCAACAAACAGGACAAGCACGGGGUGGUGACGAGAAACAAGGCUCGACUUGUGGCAAAAGGUUAUGCCCAAGUCGCAGGUUUGGAUUUCGAGGAGACUUUUGCUCCUGUGGCUAGGCUAGAGUCAAUUCGAAUCUUGCUAGCAUAUGCCGCUCACCAUUCUUUCAGGUUGUACCAAAUGGAUGUGAAGAGCGCUUUCCUCAACGGGCCAAUCAAGGAGGAAGUGUACGUAGAGCAACCCCCUGGCUUCGAGGAUGAUCGGUUCCCCGACCAUGUGUGUAAGCUCUCUAAGGCGCUCUAUGGACUUAAGCAAGCCCCAAGAGCAUGGUAUGAAUGCCUUAGAGAUUUCUUAGUUGCUAAUGCUUUCAAGGUUGGGAAAGCCGAUCCAACUCUUUUUACUAAGACUUAUAAUGGUGAUUUGUUUGUGUGCCAAAUUUAUGUCGAUGACAUAAUAUUUGGUUCUACUAACCAAAAGUCUUGUGAAGAGUUUAGCAGGGUGAUGACGCAGAAAUUCGAGAUGUCGAUGAUGGGCGAGUUGAACUACUUCCUUGGGUUCCAAGUGAAGCAACUCAAGGAUGGCACCUUCAUCUCCCAAACGAAGUACACGCAAGACUUGCUAAAGAGGUUUGGGAUGAAGGACACCAAGCCCGCAAAGACGCCGAUGGGAACCGACGGACACACAGACCUCAACAAAGGAGGUAAGUCCGUUGAUCAAAAGGCAUAUCGGUCAAUGAUAGGGUCUUUACUUUAUCUAUGUGCUAGUAGACCGGAUAUUAUGCUUAGCGUAUGCAUGUGUGCUAGAUUUCAAUCCGAUCCUAAGGAGUGUCACUUAGUGGCGGUGAAGCGAAUUCUUAGAUAUCUAGUUGCUACGCCUUGCUUCGGACUCUGGUAUCCAAAGGGGUCUACCUUUGACUUGGUUGGAUACUCAGACUCCGACUAUGCUGGAUGUAAGGUCGAUAGGAAGAGUACAUCGGGGACGUGCCAAUUCUUAGGAAGGUCCCUGGUGUCAUGGAAUUCUAAGAAACAAACUUCCGUUGCCCUAUCCACCGCUGAGGCCGAGUAUGUUGCCGCAGGACAGUGCUGCGCGCAACUACUUUGGAUGAGGCAAACCCUCCGGGACUUUGGCUACAAUCUGAGCAAAGUCCCACUCCUAUGUGAUAACGAGAGUGCUAUCCGCAUGGCGGAAAAUCCUGUUGAACACAGCCGCACAAAGCACAUAGACAUCCGGCAUCACUUUUUGAGAGACCACCAGCAAAAGGGAGAUAUCGAAGUGUUUCACGUUAGCACCGAGAACCAGCUAGCCGAUAUCUUUACCAAGCCUCUAGAUGAGAAGACCUUUUGCAGGCUGCGUAGUGAGCUAAAUGUCUUAGAUUCGCGGAACUUGGAUUGAAUUGUAGCAUACAUGUGUUUAUGCCUUUGAUCAUGUUCAUUCUGCAUUUUGUUGCUUAUUGUGGUGCUCAAGUUGUACAAACACUUCUUGGACCUCACAAGUCCGUUGCAAAGUGAUGCACAUGUUUAGGGGGAGAUGUGUUACACCUUGACCCUUUGAGACUAACCAUGUGCUUGAG